ensembl:lncRNA
GCCUAAUUGUGCGGACGUAUUUUACCUCCACAAACAGCUGAGACGUGGUUUGGAUACAUGUGGCAAAAAAGUGCUCCACGAGUGAGGUGUUGUGGCUAUACUUUCCCAACCUUGAAACCUCAGAAUUAGGGAGACAAUCAAAAGGGCACAUUUUACAGUGUUUAUUUAUCGGAUAAAAUACGUUAAAUGUCACCAUCACCGAAACAGCGGGGGAGUCCAAAUUCAGAGGCUGCUUCCACCUGAGGACCCGGCCUUCGCGGUCUAAAGAAAGCCAGAUUAAGUGCAAGAGUUGUUAAGUGUGGAUACGCAGCCCUGCCCUCCUGCACUAUCAGCAGUGGGAGCAGCAGAAACCCCUCAACAGCAACAUUUUACCCCAUCAGGAGGGGAGAGAGACACACAAACAACGAGCGCUCCCGUCCAUUAUUCUUGCUAAUGUGACAAGCUGCAAGCCUGCAUCAACCACUUCCAGACCGUGAAUGCACUGGGAAGCAACAUGGCGGCAGCUGGUGCCCUACAAUCACCGUGAGGGCUGUUUCCCUGUGUCCCUACUACCUCCUCAGAGAAUUCCCACAGCUUUUCAUCAUCUUGGCCCUGACAACAUCAGCAAUCGUUUGAUCUAUAGUGUUACAUCAUAUUCUAUAAGGAUGUUAUGUGUUUGUAGACUUUCUGCCCAGUUUGACCCAUUUAGCAGACGUCAGCCUGUUUAAGGCUCUGAUGUCUAUUCUGUGUGACUUACAGCAGUUAUGACAUGGUCUGAUUUUCUCACCCAAUAAAGGAAUAUUUCAUAUAUCAGUCUAC